UACGAAGGUGGCAAGCGUUGUUCGGAUUUACUGGGCGUACAGGGAGCGUAGGCGGUUGGAUAAGCCCUCCGUGAAAGCCCCCGGCUCAACUGGGGAGUGUCGUGCGAUACGGGCGGACUGGAGGCCAGUAGGGGGAUGCGGAAUUCCGGGUGUAGUGGUGGAAUGCGUAGAGAUCCGGAGGAACACCAGCGGCGAAGGCGGCAUCCUGGACUGGUCCUGACACUCAGGAGCGAAAGCGUGGGGAGCGAUCCGG
rnacentral:rRNA from 1 species